GCCUUAGUAGUAUAAAAAUUACAUUGGUCUUGUAAACCAAAAAUGGAGUACUACUCUCCCUAAGACA
rnacentral:tRNA from 1 species